AGCUGGGUGAGUCCUGCACGACUAGCUCCCCGUGAAUCCUCCAGAUCUUGACCGAAGCAAAGGUAGCGGCGUUGUAGCAGUGCGAUGCAGAUCACUCACCCACU
rnacentral:SRP_RNA from 1 species